ACCGGCGGUUGGAAGGGUGCCGGGCCAGACUGUACUGCGUCACAGUCUUCUUCUUCCAUGACUGGAACGCGUAUUGUUCGAGAACGCCUGAAAUAUAUUUAUUCAAG